rnacentral:rRNA from 1 species
GAAUAUUGCACAAUGGAGGGAACUCUGAUGCAGCGACGCCGCGUGAGUGAAGAAGUAAUUCGUUAUGUAAAGCUCUAUCAGCAGGGAAGAAAGUGACGGUACCUGAAAAAGAAGCUCCGGCUAAAUACGUGCCAGCAGCCGCGGUAAUACGUAUGGAGCAAGCGUUAUCCGGAUUUACUGGGUGUAAAGGGAGAGUAGGUGGCAGAGCAAGUCCGAAGUGAAAACCCAAAGCUCAACUAUGGGAAUGCUUUAGAAACUGCUCAGCUAGAGUGCAGGAGAGGCAAGUGGAAUUCUUAGUGUAGCGGUGAAAUGCGUAGAUAUCAGGAGGAACACCGGUGGCGAAGGCGGCCUGCUGGACUGCAACUGACGUUGAGGCCCGAAAGCGUGGGGAGCAAAC